CCAAAUGGAAACCAAGCUAAGUGCGCGACGUCCUGUCGCAACGCUUAGCUAACCAAACCCUGC
rnacentral:sRNA from 1 species